AGUACAGAGGAGGCAGCAACAGUAAGAAGCAAAAAUGCUGUGCAAGUAUCACUAGCUCGUUAAUAUGCAGUUACAUUUUAAUUAGGAAUAUAGAUUAGGAGGUGCCAACAAAACAAGAGGUGGAAAAUAGUCCUAUCCACCACAGCAGUGUAAUAUAUUAUUCUGCCAUCUGAUACAGUUUUUGUCUUUUCACUGCUUUCAAUUUGGAAUCUUUUCCUCCGCCAGACAAGAGACAGAACUGAAGUGUCUCUAUAACCGAAAGCAGCUAUAAGGCUGUGCAAACAAAGUGCCUUUCAAACACUACUGGAAACAACAGCCAUAUUCUAUCAGGCUGACUCUUCACGCCGCAGAUCUGAGAUAACCUUUCUCUAUGCCGCUGCUGUUCUGAUGUUCCAGAUAUCCCUCUGCCUGGUGUUGAUGGCUGAAGUGCGAUGCUGGCUCAGGGUAUCAACCAGAGUGUGGUCUCCCCAGCGCAUCAGCAUGACAACCACCUGGAUUGAGCUAAGUAGGGCACUGUGAAGGGAGCCAGUAAAGUUGAAUGAUCACAAGUUUCAUCAGGAACCUGGAAUCAAAGAAAGAAGGCAAAAUAACACACAAAGAUGGUAUCCCAAUUAGACAGACAAAAAUACAAAUAUCAGGGCUAAUUAAAAACGUAUUUUCAUUAUGAUUUUCAUUAUAUUUAUUGUGUUUUUCAUUAUUAUGAUUGUGCUAGUGUUUGUUUUGG